CGCUGAACAUCAUCACCACAAAGCAAGCAGUUAUUAAUUUCGUGUUUUUCUUUCAUCAUGCAAGUUAAAUUGUGUUUUUAUCCGAUGUUGUAAAAUGUAUGCCUUGUUAUAGUGUUUUGCACUUUAUUCCGGGCAAGAGGUGGGCACAUGACCAAUAUAUUCAUAGUUGGACAGUAUUUCCCAUCCCAUGCAUGAAGCUAGUAAAGACAUGGAGAGACACAGUCUUCACUAUAUUUGCCAGGUCAUCAUAAAGCUCCCACACACAUGGAGCUCUUCGGCAGUAUGCAAUGUAAUGUCCCAGACCAUCUUUAGUCAAGCUUCCCUUGAAAGCGAUGACUCCUCUCAAAGAGAAUGUCUUUCCUUGGAGAGCAACAGUGGGGGGAAAUUCACUCAAAGAAAACUGAGUUGUGUUUGCAAGUGGGCGAAGGCAGGGAGACUCCGGAAGGAAGAGUCCAUUUUCCACUGAAAUGUCAAGCUGAGCCAUGCCAGAGUCCAUCAGCACAGAAAUGUCAGGAGAAACAAAUGAUGGAUCUGCAUGGAGCCAUUCAGUGCAGGAAGUGAGAUAAGAAGUCCUCUUCCUUUUUUUGGGUGGAAGAAUUAGUCCCCUCCAGUUUUCAACCACGUCUUCAUCUGUUGGAGGAAUGUUUGUGGUUUCAUCGGAAUCUACAGAAUGAACAAAUCCGCAUAUUUCCUUCAAUAAAGGAAAGAUGACGAGAAAUAAAGCGAUCAACUCGAAUGGGUAAGUUCUCGUGUUUAAAAAGGCUAUGCUUUACAUUUUUGAAUUCUGCUUCAACAGUGGCUGAGCUUGCUGUGAGGUUGGUGCUUUUGAAGAGGGGGACCAUUACUCCUGUCCAAAGUGCCGCGUAGGUCAGUCUGGAUCUCGUCAAAAGAAUCCACUUGAUGCAUUUCAUUUGGAUCUUCAGCUGGAAUGAUGAUGGAGUCUUCUGUGAUCUGGGUUUUUAGAUAUUUUUUGCACAUCUCUGAUUCGAGAGGGACUCCAGAACUAUCAUCACCCUCUGCCUCACUGAGGGCCACAACAGUGAUGGCAUGUAUUAGCUGUUUUGCAUGGUCCAAGCACUGUGAUUGAAGAAGCUUUGCUAUUGCCCUGACAAAGAAAUCUUUGACACGGUGUGACUUGUU